rnacentral:rRNA from 1 species
AGUCGAACGGUGAUAGCAAUAUCAUAGUGGCGCACGGGUGCGUAACACGUAUGCAACCUACCUUAUACUUAGGGAUAGCCUUUGGAAACGGAGAUUAAUACCUAAUAGUACAUUUGACUGGCAUCGGUUGACUGUUAAAGAUUUAUUGGUAUAAGAUGGGCAUGCGUCCAAUUAGUUAGUUGGUGAGGUAAUGGCUCACCAAGACGAUGAUUGGUAGGGGAACUGAGAGGUUAAUCCCCCACACUGGCACUGAGAUACGGGCCAGACUCCUACGGGAGGCAGCAGUAGGGAAUAUUGGGCAAUGGAGGGAACUCUGACCCAGCCAUGCCGCGUGCAGGAUGAAGGCGUUAUGCGUUGUAAACUGCUUUUAUAUAGGAAGAAAUAGUCCUUGCGAGGAAAGUUGACGGUACUAUAUGAAUAAGCACCGGCUAACUCCGUGCCAGCAGCCGCGGUAAUACGGAGGGUGCAAGCGUUGUCCGGAUUUAUUGGGUUUAAAGGGUGCGUAGGCGGUUUAUUAAGUCAGUGGUGAAAGACGGUCGCUCAACGAUUGCAGUGCCAUUGAUACUGGUAGACUUGAGUAUGAUUGAGGUAGCUGGAAUGGAUAGUGUAGCGGUGAAAUGCAUAGAUAUUAUCCAGAACACCAAUUGCGUAGGCAAGUUACUAAGUCAUAACUGACGCUG